UGGGGAAUUUUGGACAAUGGGCGCAAGCCUGAUCCAGCCAUUCCGCGUGCAGGACGAAGGCCUUCGGGUUGUAAACUGCUUCUGUACGGAACGAAAAGGCUCUGGCUAAUACCUGGGGCUCAUGACGGUACCGUAAGAAUAAGCACCGGCUAACUACGUGCCAGCAGCCGCGGUAAUACGUAGGGUGCAAGCGUUAAUCGGAAUUACUGGGCGUAAAGCGUGCGCAGGCGGUUAUGUAAGACAGAGGUGAAAUCCCCGGGCUCAACCUGGGAACUGCCUUUGUGACUGCAUAGCUGGAGUACGGCAGAGGGCGAUGGAAUUCCACGUGUAGCAGUGAAAUGCGUAGAUAUGCGGAGGAACACCGAUGGCGAAGGCAAUCCCCUGGGCCUGUACUGACGCUCAUGCACGAAAGCGUGGGGAGCAAACA
rnacentral:rRNA from 1 species